CACCGGGAUAGUGCUAAGGGUGGGCGGUGAUUUCUCAGGUACUGACCAAAAGUAUUCCAGUCUCGCCUCUUUUGGGAUUCAUAACGACUUAAUGGGAGUGAUGGCAGUGGAGGGGGGAGUGGUGGUGGUGAUGAGGUUACCUGCUGCAGCUGUUGAUGAUGGUUCCCAUUUCUUGAUGAGCCUGUAGAAUUGCAAACCACCGCGGCGGCGGCGGCAGCGGCGAUUGCAGCUGACAUGUUUGGAGUUUAGAAAAAUACGAAGGGGAGAGAUGUUUGGUGGUGGAGCAGAGAAGAAGCUAGAGAAAUUGGAUGUUUUAAGGUAUAAAAUUUUGGAGCUCUAUGCACACACACAUAUAUAUGCGAUCUCUGAAAAGAGUACUGCAGCUAGCUUGGAUUGGCGAAACAAUUAUGCUCAGAAGAGAGCAUAUAGAUAAGUUUUUUGGCACUUUAGAGGGAAAAAAAUAGGGAUAUAAAUACAAAUACACCCAAGAAUCACACAGAAUGGUGGGGAGAGAGAGAGAGAGAGAGAGCCUGAAGCCUCGCAAGGAAUGGAGGAGGAGAGAC
rnacentral:misc_RNA from 1 species